rnacentral:rRNA from 1 species
GACAGAGGGUGCAAACGUUGCUCGGAAUCACUGGGCGUAAAGGGCGUGUAGGCGGGAAGGAAAGUCAGAUGUGAAAUCCCUGGGCUCAACCCAGGAACUGCAUUUGAAACUCCCUUUCUUGAGUACCGGAGAGGAAGGUGGAAUACCUGGUGUAGAGGUGAAAUUCGUAGAUAUCAGGUGGGACAGCCAGUGGCGAAGGCGGCCUUCUGGACGGUAACUGACGCUGGAGACGCGAAAGCGUGGGGAGCAAACAGG